GUCUCUGUAGCUUAAACAUUUUAAAGCAUUG
rnacentral:tRNA from 1 species